UGCGGGAUGGAGCAGUCUGGUAGCUCGUCGGGCUCAUNNAACCCGAAGGUCGUUGGUUCAAAUCCAGCUCCCGCUACCA
rnacentral:tRNA from 2 species